UGGGGAAUUUUGGACAAUGGGGGCAACCCUGAUCCAGCCAUGCCGCGUGAGUGAAGAAGGCCUUCGGGUUGUAAAGCUCUUUCGGCCGGAACGAAACGGUCACGGCUAAUACCCGUGACUAAUGACGGUACCGGAAGAAGAAGCACCGGCCAACUACGUGCCAGCAGCCGCGGUAAUACGUAGGGUGCAAGCGUUAAUCGGAAUUACUGGGCGUAAAGCGUGCGCAGGCGGCGACCUGUGUCAGGUGUGAAAUCCCCGGGCUUAACCUGGGAAUUGCGCUUGAAACUAGGUUGCUCGAGUUCAGUAGAGGGGGGUGGAAUUCCACGUGUAGCAGUGAAAUGCGUAGAGAUGUGGAGGAACACCAAUGGCGAAGGCAGCCCCCUGGGCUGAAACUGACGCUCAUGCACGAAAGCGUGGGGAGCAAACAGG
rnacentral:rRNA from 1 species